rnacentral:lncRNA from 1 species
GCAUAUAUUUGACACUUGUAGCAUUUCUUCACAAACUUGCAACAGUCAGAUUCCAUUGUCAGCCAAUAGUAACCUGCUCUCAACAUCUUUUUAGCCAUAGCGUGUCCAUUGGAAUGAGUACCAAAGGAACCUUCAUGGACUUCUGUCAUCAAUAAGUCUGCUUCGUGUAUAUCCACGCAUCUGAGCAAAACCAUAUUGAAGUUUCUUUUAUAAAGCAC